rnacentral:rRNA from 1 species
UACGUAGGGUGCGAGCGUUGUCCGGAAUUAUUGGGCGUAAAGAGCUCGUAGGCGGCCUGUCGCGUCGGCUGUGAAAACCCGGGGCUCAACCCCGGGCCUGCAGUCGAUACGGGCAGGCUAGAGUCCGGCAGGGGAGACUGGAAUUCCUGGUGUAGCGGUGAAAUGCGCAGAUAUCAGGAGGAACACCGGUGGCGAAGGCGGGUCUCUGGGCCGGAACUGACGCUAAGGAGCGAAAGCGUGGGGAGCGAACAGG